CAGUGUCGCCGUGGCCGUGAUGGAAGGAGGUCGUGCUGGUCUUCGUUUCUCUGCUGCCUUCGUCAUGGUUUCUCGAUUGGUUCUAGAGAAGCAGCGGCAGCAGGAUCACUUCGGAUGCGGCUGUCGGCACCACCACCACCUAGCAGUGACUUCAGCUCAGUCUCUGUAUCGGACGCCGCCUCCAGCACGUAAUGCUGUGUACCUGUGAGGGAACAGUGUGUGUCAGACUUGUUGGCUGUAGUGUUGCAGGAAACAAGCAUUAAAGUUGUAAGAGUUCAGAGGACUCACAAUUUU